GGAGAGAUAAGCCAAUGCUCUUUGCAGAGGAGGAAAACAAAAAAUGAGCCUUGUGGGCAACAGGAGGAAAGCCACGCUCGCCAGCAGGCAGCACCCUACACUGGCAGGGGGAGAAAUCGGAGCCUCAGCAGCCCCGGGCAGGAUUUGCACGAAGUCUCCCGUUUCAAGUUGCAGGUCUCCGGAGUCCCGGGGAAGGCGCCCCAGCCCACAUUUGCCUCUCAGAGCCCCGACGAUUGAUAGAAACCCUUGGUAUCACCCGCAGGACACGAAGGACACCGCAAAAAGGCAAAAGGACACCAAUUAAACAGAAAUAACCAACUGAGGAGGCACUUCUAAAGUCUACACUGGGAAAGAAAACAGACCCCAAUCCCCAAGUCUGUGGACAAACACCACAAGUUUUCAUGUGAGCAGAGUCCAGAAUCAUGUUUUGGUGAUGUAUCAAGAAAAUCUUUGCCUAACUUAAGGAUCUGCCAUGCUAAAAUACCAACUACUGAGAAAAAAAAUCAAGUCAUUUGAGAGUCGUUCCAGGCUCUUCCUAGGACAAUGGUCUUAACAGGAAACUCUUGAAGCCCUGUGAGUCCUUACAACUCCCCAGAGAUGUGCUUAUAGAAAAUGCAAUCAACAGAGCUGCACAACACAGAAGCCUCCCAGCAUCCUCUCUUCGAAGGAGUUCUGGGGCUUGUUGAAUGAACACCUUCUCUUCAUAUUCCUAUGUACUGAGGACAGUGGGAUGAGACCCCCAGUCCCUCUGGCAGGGUGAUCUUAAUCUUUUCUCUUGACUUCUCAGAACAUCUAUGCCUCGUGUUAAUCUUUAGAUAAUGUCCAAGGCUCCUUCCAACUCUGACAUAGUUUUGAUUCUAGGGGGACAUUUCCCAGUGCAUGGCUAGUACACACUCAUAUGAAAAGAGACCUGAUUGAUUUGGGGUGGGGCUGGGUGGAUGGUAUUGGGUGGGCUGAUAUGCUGUUUCCUCAAGUGCUCGAUGUAAGCAUUACGGUACAACACAGAGAGCACUGGGUCUGCACCCACGCUAUCUGGGUGGAUGGCUGGAGCUCUGAGAACUUGAGCAUCCCUUGUAAGUUGCCUGGGCCUGUUCCCUCAUCUAUAAUGAAGAGACACGAGUCGCUGUCCAGCCUACCAUUUGGUGCUGUAAACCUGAAAAGGAUUAUUAUUGUCAUUGUUUUUCUGAGUAUUUCAGGAUUCUGUACAAUAAAGACAUUAUAUAUCAUGCACUACAAAAUGAAAUUUGCCAAAAAAUACAUUUUGCACCAAGUUAGAACUUGAAGCAGAAAUUACUUAUCAAACAAGUAUUGCUACUGGGCAUGUUUUGGUUUUCAAUUAAAUUCUUUUUAACUCUG